AUGCUAGAGACGCCUCCGACGGCAUGGCUUCUAUUCCUCUUCCCGCUUUUCCUCUUGUUUGUGUUUUAUUACUGGUUCACUUGGAAGACAGGAAAAAGGCAACAGCUUGCAGGCAGACUCCCGCCAUCACCAUCGGCGCUGCCCAUCAUCGGCCACCUGCACCUCCUCGGCUCGCUCCCGCACGUCUCGCUCCGCAGCCUCGCCAGGAAGCAUGGCCCUGACGUGAUGCUCCUCCGUCUUGGCGCCGUGCCGACGCUCGUCGUGUCGUCGCCGCGUGCUGCAGAGGCCGUGCUGCGCACGCACGACCAUGUCUUCGCGUCACGGCCACACUCCAUGGUCACCGACAUCCUCAUGUACAGCUCGUCCAACACCGGCUUUGCGCCAUAUGGCCAAGGCUGGCGGCAGGCAAGGAAGCUCCUCACCAACCACAUGCUGAGCGUUAGAAAGGUGCAGUCUUUCCGCAGCGCCAUCAUGGAGGAGGUAAGUUUCAAUGACUUUCUAGUUUUCGCCACACCACAUUUGAUAGAAUUAUUUUUAAUAUCUCGGCGUGAAACACAUUAUGAAGACAUAUAA
rnacentral:rRNA from 1 species